CAAAUUGAGUUUCCUCACCUGUUUCACCUGUUCACCUUGAUUGGCUGCCGCUCUAUCAAGCGCAGCUGCAGCAGGUUUCCCUGAUGAGCGUGAGGGGUUUAUUAGACGGCACUGCUGAACUGGUCUUCGCCGGAGCAACACGUACCUUACGUGACUUACACCCGAGAUCCUGUGAAGCCGUCGGAGUUCCAUCUGUGCCCCGCUCACCUGCCUGUCUGCCUCCAACGAAUAAGGGAACUCACCUGCCUCAGUACAUCACUGCGGUUAAUCAUCUGUUCAUCCKACAAAGAAAUCUACUUACCUUGUGGAUCCUUGUCAUCUCCUCCGAGCCGCCUUCCUCAUUCAUCACUCACUCCCGAUCCCUCGACAUCCCAGCACCUGUAAAUAAAAGAAAUUAUUUUUUGACAUUGCUUCUCUGUUGUGUGUUUUGUACCAAAUCCGCAAAUUCUUUGACUUACCUUGAAAACCUGAUAGUUUGCUCCGGCCAGACAUGUCAAAGAGCGGUUUUGGUGCAGAACAACAGUCCAGAGCCAUGGAUAUAGAACAGAAAUUUAAAGAUCAUGAUCAACUUAUGGAACAUUUGUAUCAACUUCAACAGAAUACUAAUGAUGCUUUAAAUCAUAUCAGUCAKCGAAUUGUUUCUCUGGAUCAUAAACUGUCAAGUUUUCCUCCUAACCCUGCUCCCUCAUCAGAUGCCGCCACCUUGCGGUCAAUUCCCGCUACUGCCUCCCGUGAACCAGACCUGCGUCCCUCACAAUGUUUUGAGGGAGAUCCUGACCACUGUGGAGGAUUCCUUCUGCAAUGCCAACUGGCGAUCGCCCGUUMUCCUUCCUUGUUUCCUAAUUCUGCAUCUAAGAUAUCAUACAUAGUCUCUGCAUUAAAAGGUAAAGCUCUACGAUGGGCCAAUUCAUUUCUGGCUUCUCACUCUAUGGACACUCUCACAUCUCAAUUUUUUAUUCAAGAAUUAAAACGUGUGUUUGAUCACCCUCUCCAGCAGGAGGAGGCAGCGAGACGUCUUCUCGCUUUAAAACAAGGAAGAAAGUCUGUGACUGAUCAAUCUAUCGACUUCCGCAUUUUAGCGGAAGAGUCGGGCUGGGACGAACUAGCUUUAAAAGGAGUUUUUACUGAUUCUCUUUCCGAACACAUAAAAGACCA